rnacentral:rRNA from 1 species
UGGGGAAUAUUGGACAAUGGGCGCAAGCCUGAUCCAGCCAUGCCGCGUGAGUGAUGAAGGCCUUAGGGUUGUAAAGCUCUUUUAGCAGGGAAGAUAAUGACGGUACCUGCAGAAAAAGCCCCGGCUAACUUCGUGCCAGCAGCCGCGGUAAUACGAAGGGGGCUAGCGUUGCUCGGAAUUACUGGGCGUAAAGCGCACGUAGGCGGACUCUUAAGUCGGUGGUGAAAUCCUGGAGCUCAACUCCAGAACUGCCUUCGAUACUGGGAGUCUUGAGUUCGGGAGAGGUGAGUGGAACUGCGAGUGUAGAGGUGAAAUUCGUAGAUAUUCGCAAGAACACCAGUGGCGAAGGCGGCUCACUGGCCCGAUACUGACGCUGAGGUGCGAAAGCGUGGGGAGCAAAC